rnacentral:lncRNA from 1 species
UAUUAGUAAUUCAAAAUGAGGUUGAUCUCAUAUAUAUAUAUAUAUAUACACUAGUAGGGAUAGCCCGGGUUUCGCCCGGACCCAACAUAAACAAUCUAUAUUGUUUCAUUACACUAUGUUAUUACUGAUUCUCACCGUAACAUUUUGAUUUUCUCUUAUGAGAGGUCUCACUAAUUUUUCAAAUUCUUUGUCAUGAUUUUUUGUAAGUACUAAAGAGAAAUAUAAAAAAUACUACUACUGUAAAUAAAUAUACAGUAACAAUAUCUGCAAGGACCCAAAAGUAAAGCGCAUAAAGUUCUUUAUCCUUUGACUUUUAAAUUUUAGUUUUCAAUAUCAUAUAAGUUCGUCAAAAAGUAGAUCGAGCUGAGCGCGUUGUGAACUAAAUCAUCAGAAAGGACAGACCCUGUAUCCAAAAUGUGCGAGCCUGGUUGAUCUGCACAGAGUUAAAAGGAGUAUCCAUGAAAAUGUUUAUGAUCGUUAUUAUUUCGAAAAUGAGUUGAUAACAGUAUUGCUGAAGUAGAAUCAAGUGAAACUUUAUUAAAAUAUUAGUAAAUGAAUAGCAUAACGUAUGUAAAUACAAGUAUUGAUAAUGAGCGAAGGAGCAUACCAAUUUACAUUUGAUAACUUUAAUGAAAUUGGUAAAACUAUAUCUCAAGAAGGCUAGUACAUGCCACCUCUAUUAAUAUUUCCAGAUAUAAGCCAUUUCUUCUCAGGAAAAGCAUGUAAUUGUAUCUCACAAAGAACUCGUCGUAUAGAGAACACAUACUAACAGGAAAACUCUAUCAAUAUGAGAAGACUAUCCAUAAGUACGUCAGUCAACAUAUUCAAAGACCUUUUGCCUAAAUCAAGUUAAAAUCAGAGGACUCUUAGUUAGGUCUCUUAGUUUACUGGAAAUUAUACUUUUAACUCCUUUGUUUCGCCUUUCGCCAUUCCUUCUUAUUUGUACAAGACCUUUUAGUUGGCGAGUUUGUAUCUUUGUGUCAAAGGAAUAAGCUUUACUAACUGGACCUUUUCAAUGCAGUCAAAUUCGUCCAUAACUUGCAUUAAUCAAGUGAUUUAUCAAAAACUCUUCUUAUGUGUCUAAACAACAGCAACAACUAGUUUGAGUGUGAACUCCUUGACGGUUUUAUAUGAGUAUGAACUUCAGCUAACAAAUGGAGCAAUUAUAAAGUAUCCUACAUAACUGAUAUGUCUUCUUAAGCAGAAAAUUUACUUGCCAAAUGAAAACAUCAAGGCCAUUUAACAAUUGUCAUCUAAUCUUUUUUUACAAUACAAAUGGAAAGAAUGCGGGUAAGAAAUAACAUUUUCUGUAUCUUAUGCCAUAGUUUAAUGUCUAGCAAGCCGAAAUAGUAUCUGAAAAUAAAAACACCAACUAACUUUAGUUAUGGCCACUAAGAACCACUAAACUUGCAAAGUAGGUAAGGAACCCAAAUUGGAUGUUUCAAAAUUUUGCCCUACAAUAAUAGCUGCACAAUACUUUUUGCAGUCAUGCAAAAAAACUAAUUAUACAAAAUAAUUUACACAAGCUAGUUACCUAAGAUACUAUGAGAAGGAAAUUCAAAACACUGUUAAGAAAUGGAGAGUAUGUUGUCCAAAUAAGGCCACAUGUGCUGAAGAAAUUUAUUGAGUCAGUCCAGCUUCGGCAACAUAUAAAGAUAAUAAUUAUGUAUAAUAACUAAGCAACUCUAAAGAUGCAGGUUAAACAUGUAACUGAAUACAUACACGGUCAUUAUCUAGACAAUAAACCCAACCAGUAAUUUCAGGAAGUAAUUACUGCAAGCUUUGAGAAUCUUGCUCGACUAAUAGAUGAAUAGCAGGUCUUGAUAGAGUAAAUGAUUUCAAAGGAGUUGAUUGUGUAAAAUAGAAAAUAUUAUCUCUUCCAAUGAUAAAAGUGCAGAAGUAAGACAUAUGGAAUAUAUCAAUGAGCAAGAAGGAGACGUAAGUUAAAUAUGAGCAAAGUUCUAACGUUCUAACAACAUGGCUACUAACUGACAUAUAUUAAAGUACUCAACAUUUCAUACCUUUAAGAUAGUAAUCAGAAAUAGUAGUUUGGUCCUGAGUAUUUAUUUUAAUUUGAGCAAUUCAUACACUCUUAUUUAUACCCAACCAGAAAGGCUAACUAAACAACUCAGACUAUUCGAAUCUUUACUUUGAGACAAAGAACGAAAAAAUCAAAGCUCUAUAAUUUACAGGUUAUACAUUAAAGAUUACAGUCUGAUUAUCAGUUUAUUGAAGCUCAGUGAAGUCAAACUUAUAAACCUUCAAACAAUAGAGCCGUAAUAAAAAAACCAACACGAUAGAUCAGCAAACUAACUUUUUUAACUAUGCGCUUACCUUGAAAGAGCAAAACGGAGUAGUGAAGAACGUCACCGAAGUCGUGAAGAUGAACAAAUUGUUUUGAUCUUUAUGCUCUGUGUUUCAUAGAAACCCAGCUAUAGAAUCACAACAAAAUACCUAAAAAGAACUUCUAAAACCAAUGAGCUUGAGUUUUAUACCAUGCAAAGGAUUAUAUGUUAUUGGUACCUACUAAACCCAAACCAAUAACAAGAAGAAUAAGUUUUAGUCAAGAUAAAAAUGAACCAUCAAAUAGAGUGCUUAUUUCAUGACCAAUUGGUUCUGGAAUAUAUGACAAAAAAUAAUAAAUUUAGCUAAAUAAGAACUGCAAGAUUUAUUC